GAGUUUGAUUCUGGCUCAGGACGAACGCUGGCGGCGUGCCUAAUACAUGCAAGUCGAACGAACGGAGAAAGAAGCUUGCUUUUUUCAAAGUUAGUGGCGAACGGGUGAGUAACACGUGGGUAACCUGCCCAUCAGAGGGGGAUAACAUUCGGAAACGGAUGCUAAAACCGCAUAGGUUCCUUAGUUGCAUGACUGAGGAAGGAAAAGAGGCGUAAGCUUCUGCUGGUGGAUGGACCCGCGGUGCAUUAGCUAGUUGGUGAGGUAACGGCUCACCAAGGCGAUGAUGCAUAGCCGACCUGAGAGGGUGAUCGGCCACAUUGGGACUGAGACACGGCCCAAACUCCUACGGGAGGCAGCAGUAGGGAAUCUUCCGCAAUGGACGCAAGUCUGACGGAGCAACGCCGCGUGAGUGAAGAGGUUUUCGGAUCGUAAAACUCUGUUGUUAGAGAAGAAUAAGCAUAAUAGUAAUCUGA
rnacentral:rRNA from 1 species